rnacentral:rRNA from 1 species
CCUACGGGGGGCAGCAGUGGGGAAUAUUGCACAAUGGGGGGAACCCUGAUGCAGCGACGCCGCGUGAGUGAAGAAGUAUUUCGGUACGUAAAGCUCUAUCAGCAGGGAAGAAAAAAGGACGGUACCUGAGUAAGAAGCCCCGGCUAACUACGUGCCAGCAGCCGCGGUAAUACGUAGGGGGCAAGCGUUAUCCGGAAUUACUGGGUGUAAAGGGAGCGUAGACGGUGAUGCAAGUCUGGAGUGAAAGGCGGGGGCCCAACCCCCGGACUGCUCUGGAAACUGUGUAACUUGAGUGCAGGAGAGGG